CCUACGGGAUGCAGCAGUGAGGAAUAUUGGUCAAUGGACGAGAGUCUGAACCAGCCAAGUAGCGUGAAGGAUGACUGCCCUAUGGGUUGUAAACUUCUUUUAUAUGGGAAUAAAAUGCGCCACGUGUGGGAUUUUGUAUGUACCCUAUGAAUAAGGAUCGGCUAACUCCGUGCCAGCAGCCGCGGUAAUACGGAGGAUCCGAGCGUUAUCCGGAUUUAUUGGGUUUAAAGGGGGCGUAGGUGGAUUGUUAAGUCAGUUGUGAAAGUUUGCGGCUCAACCGUAAAAUUGCAGUUGAAACUGGCAGUCUUGAGUACAGUAGAGGUAGGCGGAAUUCGUGGUGUAGCGGUGAAAUGCUUAGAUAUCGCGAAGAACUCCGAUUGCGAAGGCAGUUCACUGGACUGCAACUGACACUGAGGCUCGAAAGUGUGGGUAUCAAACAGGAUUAGAUACCCUAGUAGUC
rnacentral:rRNA from 1 species